GCUCUCGUAGUCCAAUGGAUAGAACAUCUCCCUCCGAAGGAGAAGGUGCAGGUUCGAUUCCUGCCGAGAGCA
rnacentral:tRNA from 1 species